CCCCCUCACUCUAGUGAUAGAGUGAGGAAGGGGGUGACCAGUGACAGAGGGAGGGGUGACUAGGGACAGAGUGAGGGAGGUGGUGACUAGUGACCUGUGACAGUCACCACCUCCCUCACUCUGUCACCUGUCAUCCCCUCACUCUGUCACUAGUCACCCACUCCCUCCCUCACUCUGUCACUAGUCACCCCCUCUCUCACUCUGUCACUAGUCAUCACCUUCCUUACUGUCACUAGUCACACACUCCCUCUCUCUGUCACUAGUCACACCCUCCCUCACUCUGUCACUAGAGUGAGGGGGUG
rnacentral:sRNA from 1 species